rnacentral:lncRNA from 1 species
GGGAGGGGAUACCUCGGUUUAGGUCUUAUUAAUUGCCAUCCCUAAAAUAUUUCCGCCACACUUGGAAAAUCUCCGUCCGCUUUCCGUUUCAUUAUCUUUCGAGCCGAGACAAAUAAAGCCAUUAGCCAUAUACGAGUGAGAUUGCCGGUGCUAGUGCCAAAAGAAAAUGAGGUAUUGUCCAAAAGACGGGCCUAGGAAGGUCAUGGCGAAAGGUUUCCGAUGUCAAAAGACGGGCCUAGGAGGGUCAUGGCGAGCCCUUGGUGAGUCAUAGCGGCCCCUUGGUGGCCCUAGGCGGGCCUAAGAGGGUCAAGGCGGCCCAUUGGCGGCCCUAUGAGGGCCAAGGAGGGUCUAGCAGGGUCAAAACGGGUCUAGGAGGGUCAAGGCGGCCCCUUAGUGACUCUAGGUGGGUUAAGACGAGUCAAGGCGGCUCUAGUUGGAUCUCGAUGGGCCUUAGGGAGGUCAAAACGGCCCUAGGCGUGUAAAGGCAGCCCAUUAGUGGGUUAAAACGGCCCCUUGGCGGCCCAGGCGGGUCAAGGCGGCCCUCGGCGUCCCCUUGGAGGGUCAAGGCGGCUCAUUAGUGGCCCUAGAUGGGUUUUGACAGCCCCUUGGCGGGUCAAGGCUGCCCUAGUUGGGUCUCGACAAGACUUAAGGAGGUCAAAGCGGCCCUAGGCGUGUAAAGACAGCCCAUUGGCGGGUCAAGAUGACCCCUUGGUGGCCCUAGGCAGGUCAAGGCGGCCCCUUGGUGACCCUAGAUGGGUCAAGGCGGCCUCUUGGUGGCCCUAGAUAGGUCAAGACAGCCACUUGGUGGCCUUAGGAGGGUCAACGCGGGUUAAGGCGGCCAAGGGUAGCGCUAGGUGGGUCAAGGCGUCCCUUUGGUGGUCCUAGGCGGCCCUAGGUGGGUCUAAGAGGGUCAAGGCAGCCCUUUAGCGGGUUAAGGCUGCCCUUUGGCAACCUUAGACUGGUGAAGGCGGGCCCUUCGUGGCCCUAGGCAGGUCAAGGCGGCCCUAAACGGGUUAAGGCGGCCUCUAGGCAGGUCAAGGCUGCACCUUGGCGGCCCUGGGCAGCCCCUUGGUGGCACUAGGCGGGCCUAGGAGGGUCAAGGUGGCCCCUUAGCAGCCUUACACGGGUGAAAGGGCCCCCUUGGCGACCCUAGGCAGGUCAUGGCGGCCGCUUAGCGGCUGCUUAGUGACCCUAGGCAGGUCAAGACGGCCUCUUGGCGGCCCUAGGUGGGUCAUGGCGCCCCCUAGGUGUGUCUAGCAGGGCCAAGGAGGGUUAAAGCGGGUCAAGGCGGCCUAAGGUGGGUCAAGGUGGGUCAAGGCAACCCUAGGCGGGCCUAGGAGGGUCAAGGCGGGCCAAGGUGGCCUAAGACGGCCCAAGGCGGGCCAAGGCUGGUCAAGGUGGGUCAAGGCGGCCCAAGGCGGGUCUAGGAGGGUUAAUGCGGCACAAAGCGGGUCAAGACAGCCCAAGGCGGCCCCUUACUGACUCUAGGCGGGUCAAGACUGCUCUAAGCAGGUCAUAGCGGCCCUUUGGCUGCCCUAGACAGGCCUAAGAGGGCCAAGGUGGGUCAAGACGUGUUAAGGCGGCCCUAGACAGGCCUAUGAGGGUCAUGUCGACCCCUUAGAAAGUCAUGGCGGGCCUAGGAGUAGACAUGUAAAUGAUUCGCUCCGGUUCCUUGGUUUUUAAACGGGUUUGGAUCGAAAAUUUGAUCUGUUUAUCUGUUAAGGAUCCGGAUCCAUUAACCCGUUUAUUAAAUAGAUCGGAUACGAAUCGAGGUUGAUCCGAUUCGUUAAGGACCCAGAUCCGUUUUAAAAUAUUUAAAUAAUAUUUUUAUAAAUAUAAUAUUACUGAUAAAUAUUAAAUAAUAUAAUAAUUAUUUAGAUAAUUAAACGUCUAAAUUGCGUCUAAAGUAUAAUUUGAUGAAGUUUAAGGUAAUUGAUGCCUAUGUUCUUUUUAUGCUCUUUGCUAAAAACAUUGGAGAUCUAGUAUUUUGAUUAUAUUAAUUUAUUGUUAAGGAGUAUUUUGACAUAUAAUUCAACUUUUGAUGUAAACCUUUAUUUUAUUAUAAUUUUGAUAAAAUUAAGAAAUUACUAUUUAAAAUUUGAAAAUAUUUACUAUUAUACACAGAUCGGAUUAACGGGUCGGGUAUCCGUUAACCCGCCGGAUCCGGAUUUGGAUCGAGCUAUCAAUGAUCCGGCGGUAACGGGUCGGAUCCGGAUCUAAAAUUUCUAUUACGGAUCUGGAUCUAGAUCUAGGUCGAUCUGCUCCAGAUCCAGUCCAUUUACAAGUCUACCUAGGAGGGUCAAGGCAGCCUUUAGCGGGUCAAGGCAGCCCCUUGGCGAGGCAAGGCAGUCUCUUGGCGGGGCAAGACGGGUCAAGACGGCCCUUAGCGGCCGUAGAUGGGCCUAGGAGGGUCAUAGCGGCCUAAAGUGGGUCAACGCGGCCUAAGGUGGGUCAAGGCGGGCCAAAGCUGGUCAAGGCGGGUUAAGGAGGCCCUAGACGGGGGAAGGCAGCCCCUUGGAAUCCCUAGACGGGACUACGAGGGUCAUGGCGGGUCAAGGCGGCCUGAAACGGCAUAAGGCGGGCCAAGGUGGUUCAAGGUGGGACAAGGUGGGUCUAGGAGAG